GCAUCUUAGCGGCGGACGGGUGAGUAACGCGUGGGCAACCUGCCCUACAGAGGGGGAUAACAGUGCGAAAGCACUGCUAAUACCGCAUGACAUUCAUUUACUGCAUGGUAGAUGAAUCAAAGGAGAAAUCCGCUGUAGGAUGGGCCCGCGUCUGAUUAGCUAGUUGGUGAGGUAAAAGCUCACCAAGGCGACGAUCAGUAGCCGAUCUGAGAGGAUGAACGGCCACACUGGAACUGAGACACGGUCCAGACUCCUACGGGAGGCAGCAGUGGGGAAUAUUGCACAAUGGGCGAAAGCCUGAUGCAGCAACGCCGCGUGGAGGACGAAGGCCUUCGGGUUGUAAACUCCUUUGAUGAGGGACGAAUAAAUGACGGUACCUCAAAAACAAGCCACGGCUAACUACGUGCCAGCAGCCGCGGUAAUACGUAGGUGGCAAGCGUUGUCCGGAAUUAUUGGGCGUAAAGGGCGCGUAGGCGGUUUCCUAAGUCAGAUGUGAAAACCCCGGGCU
rnacentral:rRNA from 1 species